GUAGAACAGUGAAGUUUGAAAACAUGAAGAAUUCAAAGGAACAACAAACAAAGAAACUAGUGGCAGCUGAUUUUUUUUUUUUAUUUAUUUCGCAAAUAGAUGCAGUUGUUAAGUGUUGUUGAUCUCUUCACGAUGGAGCUCAUGAGCAAUAAGGCGCACACUUUGGCGACUUGUUGCCUGCAUUAAAAGACCAACUAAAUGAGGCGAAACACCAACUCGUUGCUUGUAGCUUCAGAGCCAGAGCCGAUUCCUCAACUGAACUUUUAACAACACAACCACGAAGUCAUAAGAUACCAGCACAAAUCACAGUUUCCCUUUCUCUACGAUUCCCGUUUGAUCCUCGGAUAUAAGUGGAUGAGGUAGAUGUGAGGUCUCGUCCCUAAAGUUAACGUGUUGACGAUCCUCAUUACUGGUAGUAGCUGUUGUUGUCCUAGCUAUUGUCAAAACGGUAGUGUCAAUGGCAUCUGCAGCUACGAGGUUACUAACAAAACAUGGUUGGCUAUUGUUAAAGGCUGCUUCUCUUGCUUCUGGGAUAGAUACGAGACGUUGUAUAGUGGUUCCCAGUUGAUCUGCCUGCAGGCUGCAGCUGACUUGAUACAAAAAGAGGUGGUUCAACAAAAACUUGCAGUGUAGCUUCACCUUGCAUCCUACUUCCUAAAUUCGCAAGUUGGUCUGCUGCUCCAUUUUUGUUCCCCGUAUGCAUGUCGAACUACUGGAUCAUGUAGCAUCCUGAGGAGGUGCCUGCAAUCAGAAAUCAGAUUAGUAUAUCUAGAGUUGUUCGUAGCCACAAGUGUGAUUACCUCCUGUGCAUCAGUUUCCACUUCCAGUGGCAGUAAUUGCAUUUGGACGGCUAGACUUAGCCCUUGUAUGAGGGCCUGCAGCUCUGCUGAGAUAGAAUGUACAUGUGUGAUUGGGCCAGCAAACCCCACCAUCCAAACGCCUAAGUGGUUCCUAAUCACUCUUCUGAUGCCAUCUGUAUCAGUGUUGCAAGAUGUUGCCCCAUCCGUAUUUAAUUUGUAAUAGUUUGGUUUUGGAGGUAUCCAUCCAAGAUUUAGACGUACCCUUUUAGGUUGUGUGGGUUGUGAUGCAGCCAUAUAUGCAAACUCAAUAGCUUGAUGUAAGACUAAUUUUGGACUAGUUUUAGUGCUUUGUGGUCAUAGAGAUUCCGAUUACGUAUAAACCAGAUAUUCCAUAGACUCAAUGGUAUAAAUGUGCGUGUGUUCAGUUUAUGAGGGAGUUGUAGUCCCUUUGAGUGUAUGAGUUUAUGUAGCCAAAGAUUUCAAAAAAGCAAUUCAACAAUUACAAUUCUGCAG